rnacentral:rRNA from 1 species
UACGUAGGGUGCGAGCGUUGUUCGGAUUCACUGGGCGUAAAGGGUGCGUAGGUGGCUGGGCAAGUUUGAUGUGAAAUCUCCGGGCUUAACCCGGAAAAUGCAUUGAAAACUGCCCGGCUGGAGGGUUGGAAGGGGGACUGGAAUUCUCGGUGUAGCAGUGAAAUGCGUAGAUAUCGAGAGGAACACCAGUGGCGAAGGCGACUCACUGGCCCGAUACUGACGCUGAGGCACGAAAGCGUGGGGAGCAAACAGG